UUUUUUUAAUAACUGAUCUAUUUUUGGUUGCCAUAGUUUUUGCCUUUUCCAGAAUGCCACAUAAAUGGAAUCAUAUGGUAUGUCUCCGCUUCUUUCACGCAGCUAAUGCCUUCUUGAUCCAACCAUGCCACCGCGUGUAGUAACCACGGCUCUCUUCUGCUGCCCAGGAGCGGCUCACUGCGUGCGUGUUACCACAGUCUGUCCGUCCAUGCACGAGUUACAGGACAGUUAACAUCUUUGAACACGCUCCUCCGGGGAGGUUCUAACCACUCUGCAGUCUUAUCAUGCCAGAUUCGUCAUACAACCAUAAAAAUGUUGCUGUGGAUGCUGGAUGCAACGACAGAAGGGUGGGAACCUGCCACUACAGCCAGUCCUCAAAAGCAGCACUUUAAAAAAACAGUUUGGGGGGCACCUGACUUUGGCUCAGGUCAUGAUCUCGCAGUUUGUGAAUUUGAGCCCCGCAUCAGGCUCUGUCCUGACAGCUCGGAGCCUGGGGCCUGGUU